GACUCUCGGCAAUGGAUAUCUCGGCUCUCGCAUCGAUGAAGAAUGUAGCAAAAUGCGAUACUUGGUAUGAAUUGCAGAAUCCCGUGAACCAUCGAGUCUUUGAACGCAAGUUGCGCCCCAAGCUUUCUGGCUGAGGGCACGUCUGCCUGGGUGUCA
rnacentral:rRNA from 1 species